GACGAACGCUGGCGGCGUGCUUAAUACAUGCAAGUCGAACGGAAAGGCCCUGCUUUUGUGGGGUGCUCGUGUGGCGAACGGGUGAGUAACACGUGAGUAACCUGCCCUUGACUUUGGGAUAACUUCAGGAAACUGGGGCUAAUACCGGAUAGGAUCUCCUGCUGCAUGGUGGGGGUUGGUAAGUUUCGGCGGUGGGGGCUGGACUCGCGGGUUACCAGCUGGUUUGGGGGGUAGUGGCUGACCAAGGUUUUGACGGGUAGCCGGCGUGGGAGGGGGACCGGCCACCAUAGGACUGAGAUACGGCCCAGAAUCGUACGGGACGCAGCAGUGGGGAAUAUUACACAAUGAGCGGGAGCCUGAUGCAGCAACCCCGCGAGCGGGAAAACGGCUUACGGGUUGAAAACCGCUUUCGAAUGAAACAAAGCCUGAGUGACGGUAAUGGGUAAAGAAGCACCGGCUAACUACGUG
rnacentral:rRNA from 1 species